CUGAAAGUUCGCUCUGGGACCUGUCCCUCACCCGGGCUAGCCAAAGGUAAGGGGAAGCAUGCUCCAUGAAAAAAGCCAACAGGGAAAGAAGCUGAGGCCUCAGUGGGCGAAGGAUACAAAUGCUGGUCUGUUCGCGGUACUUUACAUUAUCUCACUUAAUCUCCAGCAAUGCUGUGAAUGAGGUGUCAUUAUUUACAAUACUCCGGAUGAGGAAAUUCAAGUCUUUGAAAGACUGCCCCACUCUCUUUGGGUAUGUCUGCACUGGAAUCGUCCUGCAAAAAUCCUAACAGAUGUGCAUCUGAUGCUAAUAUUUUGUUUAAUUCUGUAUGUCUGCUCCCAACCCGUGUAUAUGCGGGAACUGGGAAUUUCAUUCUUCCCAUAAAGCAACAGAUAUUGGGAAUAAGUAUGUUUCGGUGGCAUCCAAAAAUGUCAACCUUACCACGGUUUUCAUGCUUCAAUCUGUCCCUCAGGGUGCCUGCACAGGAUGAAAUGAACUCUUCGAUGCGAAAGAGAAUAUGGGUCUCCUCCGCUGUUGAAUUUUCAUGGAACACCCCUUGUCCUUAAAUUGGGGAGGGCAGAGCAACAGAGAAAGGUAUUCACCGAAAGGUCCGAUGGAGGCCCAUGUUACCUGUGCUUCCUAACCCACUUCUUUUAGGACAGACAACGUCUAGAACACUGCUGGACUGGAAAUAAGAAUACGCUGCAUUGGGGCACCUGAGUGGCUCAGUCAGUUGGGUGUCUGACUUCGGCUCAGGACAUGAUCU
rnacentral:lncRNA from 1 species